UGGGGAAUAUUGCACAAUGGGCGCAAGCCUGAUGCAGCCAUGCCGCGUGUAUGAAGAAGGCCUUCGGGUUGUAAAGUAUUUUUCAGCGGGGAGGAAGGCGAUAAGGUUAAUAACCUUGUCGAUUGACGUUACCCGCAGAAGAAGCACGGCUAACUCCGUGCCAGCAGCCGCGGUAAUACGGAGGGUGCAAGCGUUAAUCGGAAUUACUGGGCGUAAAAGCGCACGCAGGCGGUCUGUCAAGUCGGAUGUGAAAAUCCCCGGGCUCAACCUGGGAACUGCAUUCGAAACUGGCAGCUGGAGUCUUGUAGAGGGGGGUAGAAUUCCAGGUGUAGCGGUGAAAAUGCGUAGAGAUCUGGAGGAAUACCGGUGGCGAAGGCGGCCCCCUGG
rnacentral:rRNA from 1 species